CACUACAGGGCCUACCAAGACAAGGGUUCUCGAACAACUGUGGGGUGUUUGUUUUGAUGUACGCAUUUUACAUUGUGGCAAGAGUCCAAUUUGAUUUCAAUGAGACGAACAUGCAGCAAAUUAGGUGGUGCCUAGUUCUCCUCAAAAACGUUCCCAUGCCGUCUGAACAAGAGAGGUCGCAAGACUGCAAGAGGCGACGGGAGGAAAAGGCAAUGCAGGAUGAAGAGGUUGUGAGGUUCCACAAAAGAAACAGGCCAUAAUUUGAUGGCCGCUGGUAAUUGAGAUGGGGUCAUGACUCAUGAGUGACCGCUGCUGGGGGGGGAACUGUUACAAUCAGCUGUAUUAGGUUCACUAAUGCCUCAAAAUGUAUUAGUUGUCACAAUCUGUCUGUGUUUUAUUUUGUCCUGUCUUGUCUGUUGAUUCCUGUCUCUGUGUUCAAUAAAAUUGAAAGUCCUAAA